CACAAUCAACCAUCUGCUCCUAUGCACGUGCCUAUCUACCCAACUAGAUUAAUGCUGCCAGAGGAAAAGGAUUAUGUCAUCUAUACAUAUAUAAAUAUGUGUGUGAGCGUGUACCCACAAUGUGUAACUUAAUUAGGCUGAAUUAAAUUAUAUUUUUUCUCUUAGUGUUACGAAGCUUAUCACUGGAUUCUGCAAUAAAGUGGAGAUUUUGUCCUAUUUUUUCCAUGCUCUGCCUUCACAUCCCGUUGAUAUUAAAAGUGAACUGAGCUGUUCUGGAUGGGCCAUAAAACUGGAAGGUAUACAGCCAAUUGAAAAUAGAGAUCUUAUGGGAACAAUUCUGCAAGAAUGUCUGAAGAGGUCUGUGGAAGGCAAGUCCCAAGGAGAAAAGGAAAGAGAGAUAAGAAGGCUGUUCUGCAAAACUGCGAAGCCCUCAGAAGAAACAAAGGGAACAGAGAAGACAGCCUAGCGGGGAGGCGGGGAUUUUGUACUUUCCUAAUUCUGGCAUGUGCAUUCCUCACAAAAUUCAUGGCUAUCAGCUCAUUCAAGAGUUCACUUACAAUAUGUUGGUUGGGCUAGAUUCUUCAAGCAUUUAAGUGUAGACGCUAAGAGGUAAAUGCAGAUUUCUCAAUUUGAAAAGGA
rnacentral:lncRNA from 1 species